GUGGGGAAUAUUGGACAAUGGGCGAAAGCCUGAUCCAGCCAUGCCGCGUGUGUGAAGUAGGUCUUCGGAUUGUAAAGCACUUUAAGUUGGGAGGAAGGGCAGUAAGUUAAUACCUUGCUGUUUUGACGUUACCAACAGAAUAAGCACCGGCUAACUUCGUGCCAGCAGCCGCGGUAAUACGAAGGGUGCAAGCGUUAAUCGGAAUUACUGGGCGUAAAGCGCGCGUAGGUGGUUCAGCAAGUUGGAGGUGAAAUCCCCGGGCUCAACCUGGGAACUGACUCCAAAACUACUGAGCUGGAGUACGGUAGAGGGUAGUGGAAUUUCCUGUGUAGCGGGGAAAUGCGUAGAUAUAGGAAGGAACACCAGUGGCGAAGGCGACUACCUGGACUGAUACUGACACUGAGGUGCGAAAGCGUGGGGAGCAAACAGGAUUAGAAACCCCAGUAGUCC
rnacentral:rRNA from 1 species